AUUGAACGCUGGCGGAAUGCUUUACACAUGCAAGUCGAACGGCAGCACGGGGCAACCUGGUGGCGAGUGGCGAACGGGUGAGUAAUACAUCGGAACGUGCCCAGUCGUGGGGGAUAACGUAGCGAAAGUUACGCUAAUACCGCAUACGAUCUAAGGAUGAAAGCGGGGGAUCGCAAGACCUCGCGCGAUUGGAGCGGCCGAUGUCAGAUUAGGUAGUUGGUGGGGUAAAGGCCCACCAAGCCGAUGAUCUGUAGCUGGUCUGAGAGGACGACCAGCCGCACUGGGACUGAGACACGGCCCAGACUCCUACGGGAGGCAGCAGUGGGGAAUUUUGGACAAUGGGCGCUAGCCUGAUCCAGCCAUUCCGCGUGCAGGAUGACGGCCUUCGGGUUGUAAACUGCUUUUGUACGGAGCGAAAAGGCUCUCUCUAAUACAGGGGGCUCAUGACGGUACCGUAAGAAUAAGCACCGGCUAACUACGUGCCAGCCGCCGCCGUAAAAC
rnacentral:rRNA from 1 species